CGGGUGCCCAGCUCCGGGCGGGCGGCCUCGGCCCUUCUCCCUGUGUGGCCUGGACUCAGUCCCGCUGCGCCCUUGGCGAGUCGGGGAAGGAGGUGGCGGGCGAGGGUGCUCCGGACGAGGCCAGGCAGGGGGAGGCGAACCUGCGACUCGCCGGCCCGUGUCCCCCGCGUCUCCGGAGGCCCGGGGCGCGGGCACCUUCGGUUGAACGGAAGAGGAGCGGGGAGCGAGGGAGGCGGCAGUUUGUGUCUCGGGGCUCUUCCGCCCCUUCUCGCCUCCUCCUAAGACAGACAGACGCCACCCCACCUGGGGCCGAGCGGGAACUGUGGGACCGUGAUUCGGUCCCCAGGUCCAGACGCCCGGCCUCGGGGGAGGACACGGUCCCAGCCCGCGUGGGCACCGCGUGGGACCGGGCACGGGGCUGCCAGGGCUGGGUCCCCUCUGGCCCCGGCCUGGGACACCGCGGGCCUGGGGCGGCGGGCCCCUUUGUGUGACUAAAUUUGGCAAGAAUAUGAAUCCGAGCCAGCCUUUCCACGUGUGCUCCCAGCUCCCAGCUGAGGAGGCCAAGGGUUCUCUUCCGGUUCCUCGCAGCACAGAUCUGUGUGAAUUUCAGCGCCCGCAUGCUGCAGCCUGCCUUUGAUGUGUGUGAUCUGUACAUUUUAGUGCUCAGGGAAAGCGCCUGACUGACAGCACCGACAUCCAAUGCCCAGGAAUCACGGCAACACCGGCUGGCCAAGCGUGGAGAGGACAAUUUUCCAAACAGAAGACCUGGAGCUAAAGCUCCAGCCCUCAGCCAUUAGCUUUUCCUUCCCCACCUGUGGGAGCUCCCAGCUGGCCUUCACCUCCCCCUUGCUGGGUUCUAUGGAUGCCUCCUGUGCCAGGCAGCUAUGCAGCACCGUGAGAAAAUAUAGGAGACGAUGGACAUGAAGGAGGGAAGGUUUAUUCUGGCUUAUGGCUUCAGGCGGUUUGGUCCAUGGUCACGGGCCCCUCUGUUUCUGGGCUUGUGGAGAGGCAGAGCAUCACAGCAGAAGGGCCUGGCAGAGGACAGCUGCUCACCUGAUGGCAGCACAAAGCACAGAGGAGCAGAAAGGACAGGAGCAAGAUACACCCUGCAGAGGCCCCCCUGCUGAUGUACUUCCUCCAACCUUCACCCUUUCCGGCAUGGCUUCUGGGUUCCUGUUGGAGCUGGUUCUUGGCUUUCUCUUACUCAUGGUUCACUGUGGCAUUCCACCAGAUCCACCUGUGUACACAGCCCAUGUAUGUGCACACAUGCACAGACCCUUUAGUUCUGUACUUGUCCCCUCUGAGCAGAAACCCUGGCAGGGUAGAUGGUCACAGUUUCACCCCUUGGCUUCAUCCAGGUUUCUGUUCAGAUCACACCUCCAUUUCCCACGGUGUUACCUAAAAAUCAGCCCUCUCCCUACCCUUCCGUCCUCAGUCCCCAAUCUGGUCCCUCUCCCUUAUCUUCCCUAGUCCAUCUUUUCCCUCUCACUGCCUGCAUAUUACUGUGUAUUUGUUUGCCUGCUUGUUUGCUUUCUGUCCCACAAAUAGAGAGGUUCUUUGUUUUCUUGUAUCCUUGCCUCCUUCCAUAGCUACUGGUGCAUAGAAAAUGAACUGGAAAGGCAUGUGGGAUGGUGAGUUAACCUAACCUUUAACACCCAAUUUCCUCAUCUGUAAUACGUACUUUCCUUAUGGAGGAGUACAGAAAACUGACACAAAGUUACAUGGCAGAGUAGAUGGUAACCAGAAUUGUGUAGAGCAGCACUGCUCAUAGAAAUACAACACAAGUUCCAUAAUGUAAUUUUAAAUUCAAAAGCUACAAAGCCACAGAUUAAAUCAGUUUAGUUAAUAAUAUAGUUAAUUUAACACAAAUAUCCAAAAUACGGUCAUCCCUUGGUACCCAUGAGGAAUCACUUCCGGGACCCCUGAGGAUACCAAAAUCCGAGGACUCGAAAGUCCCCUAUAUAAAAUUGUGCAACAUUUGCACACGACCUACACACAUCCUUACAUACACUUUAAUCUUUAGAUGACUUGUAAUCCAUCAUCUAAAGACUACAUUGUACUACAUUACUUAUAUUCCAUGUAAUAUAAUGUAAUUGCUAUGAAAAUGGCUUUUCUGGUAUAUGUUUAGGGAAUAAGAAUAAAAUAUCUGUGCUUGUUUAAUAUAGAUAGAAUUUUUUUUAAAUUUUGCUCCAUGGCUGGGGAUUUAGCUCAGUGGUUUUGCCGCCUGCCACACAAGCACAAGGACCCAAGUUUGAUCCCCAGUACCAAAAAAAAAUUUGCUCCAUAGUUGGCAGAGUUCUUGGAUAUGGAAACAGAGGGCUGACUAUAUUACCAUGUUAGCAUGUAAUCAUUGUAAAAACGUCUUAAUGAAAGAUUUUACAUUUUAAAAAUAUGAAGUCUUUGAAAUCUGGUGCAUGGUUCGCUUAUAACACAUCUGAGCUUGAACUGGCCCCAUUCUGAGGCUCCAAGGCACAUUCGCUAGAGGCGACCGUGUAGCUGCCGCUGCACUCAAUCCACCCUUUAAUGACAAGUUUUUGUCUGAUUCAUCUUUAUAGGCUCCUUGCACACUUCUCUCAAAACAGUGGAUGAUCAAAGAUGUAUGAAAGAAUAUUAACACAGUAUAUCGCUAUGUGCUAUUUCUCAUGACUCGCAACUCCGAGGGU
ensembl:lncRNA